rnacentral:rRNA from 1 species
CCAACAGGGAUUGCCCUAGUAACGGCGAGUGAAGCGGCAAUAGCUCAAAUUUGAAAGCUGGCGUCUUUGGCGUCCGCGUUGUAAUUUGUAGAGGAUGCUUCGGCGAGGGCUCCGGUCUAAGUUCCCUGGAACGGGACGUCAUAGAGGGUGAGAAUCCCGUAUGUGAUCGGUUGCCUAAGCCAUGUGAAGCUCCUUCGACGAGUCGAGUUGUUUGGGAAUGCAGCUCUAAAUGGGAGGUAAAUUUCUUCUAAAGCUAAAUACCGGCCAGAGACCGAUAGCGCACAAGUAGAGUGAUCGAAAGAUGAAAAGCACUUUGGAAAGAGAGUUAAAAAGUACGUGAAAUUGUUGAAAGGGAAGCGCUUGCAACCAGACUCGUCCGCAGUUGCUCAGCCGGUCUCUUGACCGGCGUACUCUUCUGCGGCCGGGCCAGCAUCAGUUCGGGCGGCCGGAUAAAGGCCUCGGGAAUGUAGCACCCUUCGGGGUGUGUUAUAGCCCGGGGUGGAAUGCGGCCAGCCUGGACUGAGGAUCUCGCUUCGGCUAGGAUGCUGGCGUAAUGGUUGUAAGCGGCCCGUCUUGAAACACGGACC